rnacentral:misc_RNA from 1 species
AUCUUCUGGGUCUCUACUUUCGGUUUCAGUACACACACUCUCUCUCUCUCUUGUUGAAGGUUUACAUUUGAGAGAAUACUAAACCGUUGCCGGACGGACGGGGAUCUGAUUCCUGCUGCUGUGUAUUGAUUUGGGAGUCAUUUUACACUGCUGCCCAUGUAACAUAGUGGAAUACCUAUCAUCAAGGGAGAGAACUCAUUAGGAUUGAUGCGGAUGUCUCUGUACCAUGUGAAACUUAAAGUAUUUACUGAAUUUUAUGACAAUGAACGACUACGCUUGGCAGUGUGACAAAGGCCUGACAGACUGCAUGAAGCACGUGCUGAACAACGCCCUCUUUUGUGACGUCACUCUACUGGUGGGGGAGUGUCAGGAGAAGGUGAGCGCCCACAAACUGGUUCUUGUGUCACGGAGUCCUGUGUUUUAUGCCUCAUUUGAAGGACCCCUGGCAGAAAAAGGUCAACUUGUGAUUAAAGAUAUAGAAAAGGAUACAUUUGAGCUAUUUCUUCAUUACCUUUACACAGACUCUAUCACACUGACCAACGAAAACGUGACCUCCAUACUUUAUUGUGCGCGGAAGUAUUGUGUGGAUAAACUAACAUGGCGGUGCGAACUAUUCAUGGAGGAUAAAAUAGACGCAGAAAAUGUGUUUGGGAUAAUGGAGGAGGCGCACACGUAUGGACUCACAACACUGAAAGAAAAGUGUCUAAAGUAUUUAGUUCAAAACAUUGAAGAGGCGCUUGCGUCGGAAUCUUUCAGCUUAAUCUGCAAACUACUGAUAAAAAUAAAAGACUCGUUUUAGGUGAAAACAUCAAAUUAAUUCGGUUCCCGGUAAUGGCUGAUUCUUAUUUCAAGGACAAGGUGGCCAGCGGAAUGCUACUGGAUGCAGACGAAGUCAUCAACGUCUUCUUGUACAACUUCAGCAAAAAUGACGGAAACUGUCGACAAUCUACGUUUGAGGUGGCGUCUCGCUGUUAUAGGCGUGUCUUAAGAUUCCGAAAGACUCUCCGAGAGAGACAGGUUUCUGACGAGAAAAACGAUAUAGCGUUCGAGAGCAGUGUUCCCGUGACAUUACACGGGGUCACUGUGUAUACUCCUAAAGAACAGUGCGAGACUCAGAUCGUGUGUAUAGACGUGUUCGAUCACAACAAAUCCAGCAUAGCAAGCGUCGACUCGCACUACUUCGAACAUUCCUCUCGAAAAGUCCAUGACGUGUUUCUGGAUCAACCAAUCAGAAUCGCUCCAAAUAAACGUUACACGAUAUCAACGAAAACCUCUUACUGGGUCAAGUCGUUCUACGGGACCCGGGGCAGAGACUGUGUUCAGUUCCGUGACGGGACGAUUUCCUUCUACAACGCUGCUCUCUCGGAGAGCUCGGACUCCGAUUACGACUGGGCCAGUACCACUGUAGAUAAGGGACAGAUUGCUGGCCUACUCUUAUCCUAAUAAAUCACUCUUGA